GAGGGAGAGAGGCCCGGGCUUCGGCCGGCUGUCAGUCUGUCCGUCUGCUCCUGCCCUAGUUGUGUGCAGAUGUGGGUAGAGCCCUAACCUAAGAUCACCACCCUCUGAGACUCCCCCGGGAUGUUUGAAAAGCAAACUACUGUAUCUGCUUUUUGGAAAACGAUGACCCCACGUUUUGCCCAAAGAAAUUACAAGCAGACCCCUACCCACCCAACAUUUAAAAGACAAUCAAAAGAGCAAGGAUACAGCCAGAGGCUGUCCCACGCCGCCGGCCCUGAGCUCCCGUCCCUAAGGGCUGGGUGCUCAGCCACAGCUCUCGCUGGGACGAACGGAUGAGUGGUAGUUAUUUUUUGCCAGUGCUCACAGCUGAGGUUUCCAGGAUGUCCUUCUCUGGCUGCAAUGUCCAGGACAAAAAGCCCCCGUGACUUUUCCUCAGUGGAUCUCAGUCCACGGAAACACCAAGUCGUUUGCAACUGUUUCCUAACUGCGUGGUUAGCCCGGGAAGUCGCCAGACAGCUCAGAGGCGUUGGGAAGACUCACUAUCCCUUAGGGCACCUGGGAACCGCUGCCAGGGGAAAAUAAAGCAGGUCCACGGGGCCAACUCGUUCUGAAUGCCUCAAGUCUGCUCUUUUCUAACGUGAAGGGAUCCAAUCAGGCUUCUCCUGAGUCACUGGCCACACGGAAGGCUGAUGCAGUAAGGACUGAGCAGGAAUGAAAUCGGUGUGUCAGAAUCAUCUCUGAGUCAGAGCUGAACAGGGCCAAGAGUUCCUGGAUUCUGGUUCUUGAACGUAGAAACACCUUUCAUUACUGGAAGUGGGUCUAUGAUGUAGUGAAAGUGAAGAUUCCAUGGAGAAAACAUUUUUUUUUCUGGCUAUGAGUUCACAAGAUGCUAGCGCCUCUAACAGCCUGAAUUUCAGUGACUUGUUGCUCACUGAGCUCAGUGUAGGUAGAUGUCUGUCUGGACACUGGACAGGCGACUUCACCUUUGUUGGACCUUACUUUUCCAGGCUUGGAAAUAAAGUAGCAGUAUUCUCAGCAGAGUCCGAUCCUUCUCUGGGUAGAAUGCUAUGAUUCCAGAUUGAACACUAGAACCUUUUGCAGGUUUAAACCUCUAGGGUUCAGUUGCUAGAUCUGAGCAUCGGGAACGGAAAUGUACCAGCCUCACAGGCCCAUGAGUGUUCACAGAGGAGCCUGGGGCUUCCACAGGGUGACAUGCGUCGGAACCACCGUCGGAACCACCACAGGGAGGACCCCCCCAAGGGCAGGGCGCCAGAGGCCGAGGGGCACAGCGCCCUGCUGACAAGGGCUUCCUGCUCUGUGAGUUCCAUGGCUCUGGCUGAGCACUGGG